rnacentral:rRNA from 2 species
UACGGGGGGUGCGAGCGUUGUCCGGAAUCACUGGGCGUAAAGGGCGCGUAGGUGGUGUCGUAAGUCUGUGGUGAAAGCCCGGGGCUCAACCCCGGGUCUGCCGCGGAGACUGCGAGACUUGAGUACUGUAGAGGCUGGUAGAAUGCCGGGUGUAGCGGUGGAAUGCGUAGAGAUCCGGCAGAAGACCGGUGGCGAAGGCGGCCAGCUGGGCAGUAACUGACACUGAGGCGCGACAGCGUGGGGAGCAAACAGG